rnacentral:rRNA from 1 species
UGGGGAAUAUUGGACAAUGGGCGAAAGCCUGAUCCAGCCAUGCCGCGUGUGUGAAGAAGGUCUUCGGAUUGUAAAGCACUUUAAGUUGGGAGGAAGGGCAUUAACCUAAUACGUUAGUGUUUUGACGUUACCGACAGAAUAAGCACCGGCUAACUCUGUGCCAGCAGCCGCGGUAAUACAGAGGGUGCAAGCGUUAAUCGGAAUUACUGGGCGUAAAGCGCGCGUAGGUGGUUUGUUAAGUUGGAUGUGAAAUCCCCGGGCUCAACCUGGGAACUGCAUUCAAAACUGACUGACUAGAGUACGGUAGAGGGUGGUGGAAUUUCCUGUGUAGCGGUGAAAUGCGUAGAUAUAGGAAGGAACACCAGUGGCGAAGGCGACCACCUGGACUGAUACUGACACUGAGGUGCGAAAGCGUGGGGAGCAAACA